rnacentral:rRNA from 1 species
UAAAGAUUCAUCGCUGAUAGAUAGGCAUGCGUUCCAUUAGGCAGUUGGCGGGGUAACGGCCCACCAAACCGACGAUGGAUAGGGGUUCUGAGAGGAAGGUCCCCCACAUUGGUACUGAGACACGGACCAAACUCCUACGGGAGGCAGCAGUGAGGAAUAUUGGUCAAUGGGCGUAAGCCUGAACCAGCCAAGUCGCGUGAGGGAUGAAGGUUCUAUGGAUCGUAAACCUCUUUUAUAAGGGAAUAAAGUGUGGGACGUGUCCUGUUUUGUAUGUACCUUAUGAAUAAGGAUCGGCUAACUCCGUGCCAGCAGCCGCGGUAAUACGGAGGAUCCGAGCGUUAUCCGGAUUUAUUGGGUUUAAAGGGUGCGUAGGCGGCCUUUUAAGUCAGCGGUGAAAGUCUGUGGCUCAACCAUAGAAUUGCCGUUGAAACUGGGAGGCUUGAGUAUGUUUGAGGCAGGCGGAAUGCGUGGUGUAGCGGUGAAAUGCUUAGAUAUCACGCAGAACCCCGAUUGCGAAGGCAGCCUGCCAAGCCAUGACUGACGCUGAUGCACGAAAGCGUGGGGAUCAAACAGGAUUAGAUACCCUGGUAGUCCACGCAGUAAACGAUGAUCACUAGCUGUUUGCGAUACAGUGUAAGCGGC